UACGGAGGGGGCAAGCGUUGUUCGGAAUUACUGGGCGUAAAGGGCGUGUAGGCGGAUCUGCCAGUCAGAGGUGAAAGCCCCGGGCUCAACCUGGGAACGGCCUUUGAUACUGCAGAUCUAGAGUCCGGGAGAGGAUCGUGGAAUUCCCAGUGUAGAGGUGAAAUUCGUAGAUAUUGGGAAGAACACCAGUGGCGAAGGCGGCGAUCUGGACCGGUACUGACGCUGAGGCGCGAAAGCGUGGGGAGCAAACAGG
rnacentral:rRNA from 1 species